AUUGAACGCUGGCGGCAGGCCUAACACAUGCAAGUCGCACGAGUGGCGGACGGGAUAGUAAUGUCUGGGAAACUGCCUGAUGGAGGGGAAUAACUACUUGAAACGGUAGCUAAUACCGCAUACCAUGGGAUGUGCCCAGAUGGGAUUAGCUCGUAGGUGGUGUAAAGGCUCACCUAGGCGAAGAUAACUAGCUGGUCUGAGAGGAUGGCCAGCCACACUGGAACUUAGCCACGCUCCAGACUCCUACUGGAGGCAGCAUUGGGUAAUAUUGCACAAGUGGCGCAAGCCUGAUUCAGCCAUGCCGCGUGUAUGAAGAAGGCCUUCGGGUCGUAAAGUCCUUUCAGCUGGGAGGCUUUACCCGCAGAAUAAGCACCGGCUAACUCCGGGCCAGCAGCCUCGGUAAUUC
rnacentral:rRNA from 1 species